ensembl:lncRNA
AAGAAAGCAAAGCAGACCUGAGCUUAUAACUUCAAAUUAUUUUUCAAAAAGAUGAGGAUGUCUACAUUGUCUGGGGAGAGGGUAGGUCGCUAUGUCCCCUGCCGUGGAGAACACCCUCUCGCUAGGAACUGAAGUGCCUGGCACAGCCAGGUAGCAUCUUGUCAUCAUGGCAAUGUGAGGGUAUUUACACUCAUUGCUUUCCCACCAUGCCAGUGGAUCACCAUCCACUGCAAUGACACUUGCUGCCUUGUAGGAUGCCACCUCCUCUUGAUGGUGUUGGCAAACGUCUUGCCUGUGUCUUUGCUCACAAAGGUCUCCCCGAAAAGCUCCUUCUUGGCCAAAUUAUGUUGUGGAGGAGAUGCCUCUGAAUCUUCUCCUGUCGGCUCUGUGGCUUGACCCUGCAUAAAAAAUGACUAUUAAACAAACUAAUUAUUUAUUUUCAUAUUUCAUAGAACUGUAUUUGUGGCAAUAACAUUUUAAUAAAAGCCAUUAUUAUUCCAAAUCAAAAAUGGAUGAUUCUAAUAGCAAUAGCAUAGAUUAAGAUUAGACUGCAGUAUAUUUAUUAAGUAAUUCACUCAUAUUUACAUUUGUUUACCUCUUUAGUGGCCACAAUCUCAGUGGUGAGAUCACUGUAUGUCCUCCGGUGUAAGGCAGGGUUUAGGUGAGACAGGGACUUGAACCUUGGAUCCAGUGAAGUAGAGCUAUGAAGGUAGUCCUGUACAUUAGGGGGGGUAUCUGGGGUUCAGGUCCUCUCUAAUGGCAGCCUUGACAUCUCUAGUGAUGGUGCUGUCUUCCUCACUUGGGGCCAUGAAUCCUUGUUUUCAGAGGUAGGAUCAUGGACACAGACGGUGCAGUUUCAGUGCUCAAUAGGGUUGUAACCGUUUUGAGGGGUUUGAGCACCUGGAGGACCUCCUCUGACACUUUCACGUGAUAAUGUCUAUGUUUUUUCAGGGUCUUGUCUGUCAGGGCAGAGUAUACAGCUGCCUGAUGCUCAAGAUAGCUCUCCAACAUGUCAUAAGUGGAGUUACAUCUUGUUGUGACAUCGUGUAUGAGCUCGUGGGUCGGUAGCUGUAUCAUUUCUUGCUUGGUCUUAAGCACAUGAGCGGCUGUUGUGUGUCGUUGAAAAAAGGAAACCACCUUCCUGAUCCUCCCAAGGAGGCGGUCCAUCUGGUUCACUGAGAUUCCCCUUUGGGAUGCUAAAUAUGUUCUGGACUGUGGCCCCAGUCCAGCUUCUAUCACUGCAUUUACUUGGUUCUUGGCAUUUUCUGUGGUGAUAGAAAUGUCUCAAUUGGGCCUCUCUAGCUUCCACUCUGCUACUGCUCCUAGCAGUACUUGCGCCAGAUUUGUGACUCUCAUAGAGGGAGUAUGUCUGUAGCACCGGACUUCACAUAUCCCACUCCUCUGUGGUGUAGUGAGCAGUCACAGUCACGUAGCUUUCCAUUGCCUUGGUGAGGGCAACAGAGGAUGCCUUGGAUAAUUUGUCGACAAUUUUGAUAUUUUCCUGUUUAUAAAGAUCUGACACGAUCUUCAUACUGAAGUGUGGGGCGCGAGGGGAUUUCGUAGCGUGGCUCAAGCACUUUCACCAUAUUUCUAAACGCUUUGUUUUCCACAACAGAGUAUGGCCUCAUGUCUGUAGUGAUAAACAUCCCAAUAGAUUUGGUGAUGGCUUUAGUCCGGUCUGAUUCUGCAGCAAAGGGCUGCUUAAAUGCCGCGGUGAGAAGUUGUUGUCUCUUGGCUGAGUUGGCUCCCGUCAUUGACACACCAGGGUGGUGACGCUUUAAAUGUGUGGCCAUGCUCAAUGUCGCAAAGUUCAAGGGGGCCGAAUACUUUCGCAAGGCACUGUAAAAGAAGCGGGAGGCUUUUCCAGUUCUUCAGCUCCUCACUACUCUUUUUUUCUUCUUUGCUUUUUGCAACGCGAGCAUCCAGGGUUGAUUCGUUGGGAUUCAACAUGCCCCGUUCACGUGAACAGUACACACAACUGCUUUAAACAAAAUAAUCAAAUCAACCGUCAGGCUUCAGAGUAAAACACUUGUCUUAUCUUUGCACUGCAACUCUGCAUCGAGAUUGAGGGAAUUAUGACUUUAAAAAGUAUCAGCGGCAGUAAAACCUGUAUUUCACACUAUGAUGGUUAAACCUGGCAAUUGAUCCGCG